CACGUAGGAGGCGAGCGUUAUCCGGAUUUACUGGGCGUAAAGCGCGUGUAGGCGGUUUGGUUAGUUGGAUGUGAAAUCUCCUGGCUCAACUAGGAGAGGUCGUUCAAUACUGCCAGACUAGAGGACGGUAGAGGAAGGUAGAAUUCCCGGUGUAGUGGUGAAAUGCGUAGAUAUCGGGAGGAAUACCAGUGGCGAAGGCGGCCUUCUGGGCCGUUCCUGACGCUCAGACGCGAAAGCAUGGGUAGCGAAC
rnacentral:rRNA from 1 species